rnacentral:rRNA from 1 species
GCUGACGCGGCUACCUGCAGUCGAACGGUAACAGGAAGCAGCUUGCUGCUUUGCUGACGAGUGGCGGACGGGUGAGUAAUGUCUGGGAAACUGCCUGAUGGAGGGGGAUAACUACUGGAAACGGUAGCUAAUACCGCAUAACGUCGCAAGACCAAAGAGGGGGACCUUCGGGCCUCUUGCCAUCGGAUGUGCCCAGAUGGGAUUAGCUAGUAGGUGGGGUAACGGCUCACCUAGGCGACGAUCCCUAGCUGGUCUGAGAGGAUGACCAGCCACACUGGAACUGAGACACGGUCCAGACUCCUACGGGGGGGCAGCAGGGGGGAAUAUUGCACAAUGGGCGCAAGCCUGAUGCAGCCAUGCCCGCGGGUUUGAAAAAGGGCCUUCGGGUUGUAAAGUACUUUCGCCGGGGAAGAAGGGGGAAAAGGUAAAAACCCUUGGCAAUGUGCCUUCCCCCCAAAAAAAGCCCGGCUAACUCCUCGCACCCCGGGGGAAAAAAAAGA